rnacentral:rRNA from 1 species
GACGAGGGGUCCAAGCGUUGUUCGGAAUCAUUGGGCGUAAAGCGGGUGUAGGUGGAUUUAUAAGUCAGGAGUGAAAGCCCCGAGCUUAACUUGGGAAGUGCUUUUGAUACUGCAAAUCUUGAAUGUGGGAGAGGAUCGUGGAAUUCCUAGUGUAGAGGUGAAAUUCGUAGAUAUUAGGAAGAACACCAGUGGCGAAGGCGGCUCACUGGCCCGGUACUGACGCUCAUGUGCGAAAGCGUGGGGAGCAAACAGG